UGGGCUUUUGGCUGCUGCAUUGAAGGGAGUUUAAUAGAUGUAAAUUUGGAGUUAAAGUAAAUGGAGGAAGGAAAAAACAACACAGUUUGUGACCUUGCAGCUGAGUUAGGGUGACAGGACCCCCUCGGGGUCCCCAGGCCAGCCCAAACACAGGAUGUGUUUGUAGUGGGACAGUGGCAAACUUCUCAGGGCUGAGUGGCCACCCCAGGCUGGAGCCGGGGAGCCCCACAGGACACAGGCUGAGCUCUCCGGCACUCUGUGGGCAGUUGCCCUGCGGUGAGACCUGUCCCUCACAGGGACCUAGGCACAUGAGGAGGAGAGGUGUCAGUGCCUUGUAACGCAGCUGACUCAUCUGCCUCUAGGGCACAUUUUGUGCUGCCCCUGAGCUAGCUGUAUGAAAUACCUGUGUCCCUCUGCCUCGUGGAGCCCCCACUCACAGCCCCUGUGCAGGGUGAGCUUUUCUGGUUUCUCCCUGCACAGAAACCUCUGUGUGCCACCUGGGAAAGGAGCACAGGGAGCAAAGCCUGCGCUUGUCCUCGAGGGUCCCGCUGGGUGCUGGCAGAGCCCAAGGGGGCUGCUUUCGGCCCCAAACCCUCCUGGUGGGUAGGACCAGCCCUGGGCACAGAGGACAGGGGGAGGCGGUUGCACAGUUUUGGCACCAUGAUGCCACACCUGCAGGGAGCAGAGCUGCAGCCGGGGGAAGAGCUGUGCUGCUGGCACGGUCCUGCCAGGACAGGGGUGCCCAAGCAGCCCCGGUGACAUGGCAAGUGGGAGGAAAGGGCUCAGGGAGUCAUUUUCUGCAGCAUGCCUUCUUUAGUCAUGAACAUGAAUUUAGAGAGAUGUUAGGGGGACUUGGAGAGGAAUCUCCUCUUAUUGCAGAGUGUUAAUUAACAGGACUCCUUGGUCCCCAAAUGGGUGGGCCAGUAUUGCAAAUCCUGGGCGGUUAAGUGUGAUUCCACUUUCCUGAAGGGAUGGGAGCUCUCAACAACCCUUGCCAGCUCCGCUUGCUCCUCUCCCAGCCAGGCUGAGCUCCCAGGGACCGCGCUCACACCCAGCACUGCACGGGUGAAGGGCUGUGGCCUCAGGGUGGCUCCUGGGGCAGUGCUUAAAUCACUUUUUAAAUCAAUUUCACCCUUACCAGGCACUAAGAAGCUUUCUGGGCUGGGGAAAACCUAGCUACAGCCACUCCUGGGAUGGGACUGGCUUUCCGCUCGAGUCACGGGCUCGGUGGAGUUUCUGCCAGGUGCUCAGGGGAAUUUCAGCUUUAAGGCUAUCUCCUACUCCCUCUUCUGUCCCUUCCACCUAUGCCAGAAGAUGGCUGCAAAGGAAACUUUUACAGCUUCAGGCCAUGAAGCCUUCUGCACUAAGCAAUUAUUUUUUAUCAGCUGAGCAAUAAAUCCUUCAGCCUUUUUCCACUCUAGCACCUCAUGACACUAAUUCUGCCUUAUCUGUAUGUCUUUGGCAAAUUAAUCUAAAGCAAAAGGGGAUUCCCUGAAAAUAAGAUCUAUGUCUUUCAGCAAAAGAGGAUGGGGAAUAGACUCUGUAGUAGAACAUUUAUGGGAAGGAUACCAUCAGCUUCCAUGCUUGCUAGCUCUUUAUGUCAAGUGGGUGAGGAGGCUCCUCUCACAGGGCUCCUCCUGCCCUUCUUGAACAGUGUUGUAGGAUCAAGAGACGAUUCAAGCUGAAAGGGACCUCAGAAAUCUCCGAUCCAGCCUCCUGCUCAGAGCAAACCUUUGGGUUUCCCUGUUCCUGCUCUGCACUCUCAGGAAAUCCCUGGCAGAAGUGCCAGUGCCCAGAGCCAGCGGGACAAAGCUCGCAGAGCACUGGCGCGAUGCUUCUGCUGCCGCUUGGCAGCCACCGCUCCAGAUUGCUCCUACCAUGUCACUCCACAACUGAAGUAGCUUUUUCUUGGCAUGCAAGUGAAGUACAGCUGGGCUCCGGGUCUGAAAUCUCUCAGGUCCAGGAAAGCCCUGAACAAGGUCAGGGCUUUGCAGCCAGCCCCAGGGAGGGCCACUGCUCAGGGACCACACCAGCAAAGCCCGCCGCAGUUUCGCCAAGUCAAGCUGGUGGGGAAGCACAAAGCUGAGGUGCAAGACAAAGACCAAAAGUCCCAGGGGAACAUCGCCAGCAUAGUCAUCUCCACACAUGCAAAGGUCCCUUCUGCUUUUUUUUUUUUUUUUUUUUCCCUUUGAAAUUUCAAAUUCCAGUUUGUGGACAAAGUCCUGCCUAUCUGAGAAUAUAGAUCUCCGACCACUGACCAAACUCCACUCCAAGCAGUCCUGAGGGCUGCGUUUCCCCUUGCCCACGGAUGCCUCCACUCAGUCCCUGGAUCUGCCAGGAUCUCACCGAAACUUUUGCACCAGAACAGAGCGCUCAUACUUGCAAAAAGUGGAUUUUGCGCGUUUGAACCUUAUCUUCAGUAUCUUCCUUUCUGAAUGCGGAAUGGGAAGGACCAUCUGUAAUAACCAGGAGCGUGCAGAGUGACCGAAUAGCCUGGACUGCCCCUAAUGUCCUUGGUCUCCUAAGGACACAAGUGCCAGAGGAGUAAAUGGAGGCAAAACAACCACCGGGACCUUGCUGGUAGCACCUGCAGCCCGUGGCCAUCACGACACUCAUCUGCGUAACGCUCCUGUCCUGUUUACUGCCACAGGAAUAAAAAGCUGCAGGAGAUAGCAAGGUGCUGCCCCACCAGCACUGGUGUCACGGCCCCUGGGAGCAGCUGGUGGGGAUGGUGGGAGUGGGGAUGGGAAGGGGGCCGUGGAAAGCACGUGGCUGUGGUGGGUGUCCCAGCACUGCCUGUCCUUGACAGCCCUCAUGCAAUGGAGAAGGAGGAGACAGAGGUGUUAAAUAGUAGCUGAUGCUCAGCAGCCUGGCCCCGGGACAGACUCGCAAGCCGCGGGUGUCUGCGCUGCCUUUGUUUGUGCACCGAGCCAGAUGGGGCGAGCGGCGCAGGUGGGAUGUGGAGCAAUUCUUCCCAGGUCGGCCCGCCCGCUGACCCUCAGCCGGUCCCCGGGGAGAAUUACUGCGGAGCUAUUCGCCUGCCUUCCCCUAAGGUCACCGAUGUGCCAGGGCUGGCAAACGGCUGCUCGCUUAGAGCCAGAUGCAAGCGGACGUCACAACUUAAUCGUAAGUGAAUAAACAGCUCGGCCAGCUCCUUGAAUACCGUCUGACUGCAAGGGCUGAUGCUCACUGCAGAAAAGUGGAUGGCUUCAUGCCCCGGGGCAGAGGACGGCACACGCACCCUGGGUUUGGGACACGUGGACCCAGCCACCUCGCACUGCCCUGGCUCCCCCUGUGCUGUCACAUGCCGUGGCUGUGACACCCACGUCACUUGUGCCUCCCCUUCUGCCCAGGUAAGUACCAGCAUCCCAGUCCGCUGUGCUGGCCGGUGGUGGUGACUGUGCCGAGGGGCAGAGCCUCCGAACCACCCCCAGGCAUCAAGGCUCGGUUCACUAGCAGCCCUCAUCACGCGUCUCCCC